rnacentral:rRNA from 1 species
GCCCAGACUCCUACGGGAGGCAANAGUGGGGAAUAUUGGACAAUGGGCGCAAGCCUGAUCCAGCCAUGCCGCGUGAGUGAUGAAGGCCUUAGGGUUGUAAAGCUCUUUCAGUGGGGAAGAUAAUGACGGUACCCACAGAAGAAGCCCCGGCUAACUUCG